AUGUCUUCCUAUCAAGAGCAUUGCAAAAUGAUGGAGAUCAUAUCCACAUCACGUUCCGUCCAAUUGACAUUAAUAUUUCAAUUAUUGUGUUCCCUGAUAGCAUUGCCUGUGGUAGUUAUAGCAAGUCAUUGGCUGUCGAAGUCGAGAAAUGCAAAAUUAUUUCAUAUUAAUGUGAUUAUUAUAUUUCAAAUUCAUCUUUUCGGGUUUUUCAUCCACUUUUUUAGUAGAAUAAUUCUCCAUGGCCUGGAUCUCUAUAACUAUGCAGUAUUCGACUACUGUGAUAUGCCUGCAAGCACAAUUCGAUGUUUUAUAUUCCGAACUCAAUAUGUUUUUGGAAUUCGAUUAGUUAGUGCAACUACAGUACCAUUUAUCAUUGAGAGGUACAUCGCCACAGUUAGAUCUACAAGUUAUGAGCAUUCCGGAUGCACAUUUGGUGUACUAAUGGCGAUAUUGCAACUUUCAAUAGGAUUUUUCUCAACAGCUUUCACAUUUUCAAGCUUUUCAUUUACUGAUCCUUCUAUGAAUUAUUGUAUUGCUUUUAAAAUUGGUAUAUUUGGCAGCGCUGAAGUAAUAAAUUUGGUGGGAGUCGCAUCUCAAAUUAUUGGAAGAGUACUGUUUGAGUAUAUGUUUCGGAAGAAUGAGCCUUUUUCAGAAGCUUCGAGCCAAACUAUUGAUGUCCACCCUUUCAAAUCGAUACUCACUGGAGCAAAACUUGAAAUCUAUGAGAACACUAAAAGUAUUUGCCAACUUACAAUCGAUUUUUCUCACUCUUCAGAUGACUAUUUUUAUUAUAAUUUUUUAUCUCGGUCUAGCGAUUGAAAAAACUACAUAUAUCGCUUUGAUCGAAUUGAACGCUGGAUAUCCAAUAUAUGCCGUUGUUUCUAUUCUUAUUUUGUUUAGAAGAGAACAAUUGAACAAGGUGACGCUCGACAAGUCUUUGGAAGCUCACAUUUACGCGGAUCAUAGUACUUAUUUUGAGAAUUUUAACAAGGCAUUGAAAUAA